rnacentral:lncRNA from 1 species
CCCGCCCGGAGCUGAGGGAGGGAGGGAGGGAGGACCCGGCGCUCCCCGCCCGGCGCCACCCGGGGGGAGUUUCCCCUCAGCGCGGGCAGGUGGGGCCGCUCCGCCGCCCGCCCCGCCUCAGCCCCGCGGGGCAGCGCGGGCAGCUCACGGCUCGGCCUCUGCCCCUCGCCGGCAGCCGCCGCCAGCAGCAACAGGUCCGUGCCCGCUCCUCCCUCCGCCUGCCAGGCGAACAAAGGGGCCGAGCGCGGCCCCGCGCCCGCCCGGCCCCUCCGCCAGCCCGGCCCCUGCGCUUCAGCCAUUUGCCUCGCCUGGCACCGCGGCGCCGCUCGCCGCCGCCUCCCGCUCCGCCGCCUGGGCCGGGCGGCGCGGUCGCUGCGCUGCGGGAGCUGCCCCGGAGCGGCGCGGGGCUCGUCGGCCGAAAGGAUCAGGAACAAUUGAUUGGCAAUGCUGCACCCUUUUCUUCAUCCUAAAGUGCUCCUUGGAUACUAACUGGCAGUUUUGGCUUCAGAAGGAUUACAAGACUGGAUUUUUAAAUGCUACUUCCAGAAUGUAAAGCCUUAAGCAUACAUGCUUCCAUCCAUUCAACCACCAUGUUCUGCUGGAAACCUACUAAUGCUGUAGAGGCAAGGUAACAUUUUCCCUGUGGGUACUCUGUAUUUCCCAGCACACACAUUCAAGGACUGUAUCCUUUCAGCUGUAGCACCACGCUGGUAUGUUUGGUGCUGCUGUUAGUUCAAUGGAGUCUUAGCUGUACCCAGAUAUGAUGAAAGCAACCAAACUUCAGUUUAUCACAGACAGAACCACGUGCUCUCAUGUUUAGAACUGUAGCUGUGAGCCCAUGUGUAGAAUUAGCAGCAAUUCUGCAUAAAAGGUUUCAUUACAUUCAGUGUGGUGUGGCCAUGCCAUACUUAUCUCUUGACUGUAGUGCAUUAGUGAUAAAAGCACCACAUCAGCCCUGGAGUUUUUCCCAAAGGUAUUGUAAUCACUCAAAGCUUGUUUCUUUCAAAAAAAGACUGUUCUUUUUUUGUUAGACUUUUCUUUCCUCUGAGGGAUAUUGGAGAGAACUUGCACUUAAUCUUUGCUAGAUUUUCUUUUGUAGGAGUGUUAUUUCCUUUUUGUUGUGAGAAUUCCUCAGAGACACUACUCCUCCCUAUUUCUGAAGAGUCCAAACUGGAAGGAGCUCAGAAAGAUAGUUUUCUUUUUAGAAAAUGUUUGUCUCUAUGAGUAUAACAGUUAGGAAACCUUUUCUCUGGUCAUGAUGACUGUUUAGAACUUGUAUAUUUUUGGUUUAGAUUUGUUAGCUAUAGUAUUGAUUUAAUCAAGCUUUUGAUAAUAUUUUUAUUAUGACUUACUUCCUUUCUCUCUUCCUCCCUGCCCAGACACACACAGCCUUUUCUUCCCCUGAGUUUCUGAUGAGGAACUGCUGUCCAUCUGUUUCUUGUGUGGUCUGUAGUCAUAAGCUGCAAUUCUUAAAUGUUGAUUUUUCUUUGUGGUUGUAUGAAAAUGUUGUAGUUAUGAGAUAAAGACCAAUUCAUACUUCUAUUACGUAUUGUCAAAAAAUUACAGCACGUUAAGAGGUCAAAAUUUGCAUCCACACAUGAAUGUGAAUCCAAUACUAUAAAAGCCAUAUAUCCAGCAGUCAGGGCAAGACACUAGGAUUGUAACAUAUCCAACUUUAAAAAAGGGAGAGAAAAAACUAUUCUUUAUAUUGUUUUUCUUGAGGUGGCACAUUGGAAGAUAACUGUAUUCUUUUCAUACAAAUAGGAGGUUAAUCAAGUGGUUAAGAUUUAGAGUUUAAUUCUGUAAUGGGCUCCAGUAAUGCAGGACCUUUCAGAGAAAUGGCAUCUUUAUGCUCCAGAUGUUUUCCCCAUCUACAAAGAGAACAUUUUUUCUUCCAAAUUUCACAGAUCUACUCAGUGACCAGGAGUGUUGCAGACUGUUUUUAUAAGUAUACAAACCACUCUACACUUGACAUUGCCUACACUUCACCCUGGCAAGUUCUACUUUCAAGUCAUUGUUUAGUUUUUAAAAUAAAUAUAAGGGAUGUUAUUUCUCUUUUGAUGAU